AAGUAACCCUCAAUUAAUUAAUCUACUAAGCCAUGAAUAUGACUCUCUGUCACUCUGACUGAGCUAUAUAUCUGACAGCGUGUACUGUUAAAAUCCAUGUUUCGUGGCAUUCCUGGUCACCUCAAAUGAGUUUUUCCCCCUGUUUGCAUAACAUUGUGCAAGUUUGGAAAGAACUUAGGGCUUUUCAGGACUAAAGGAUUCAAGCAGUCACAUCUUCAGCUUUUCUGUACUUUGAGCAUUAUUUGACUCAAACAAACAAGAAAAAGAAAAAGAACUAUUAUACGCUGCUCUGUAUGGGAAUGAUUUGACAUGCUCAGCAGUCUUGCUUCAGAUUCUUUCCUUAAAAAGCAAGAGAGCAAUUAAUGGAAGAUUCUGAAGAUUGAACGACUUCCAUCUUUGGCACAGAGAUGCUGCAUAAGGGGACUCUAGCACUAUGU
rnacentral:lncRNA from 1 species